rnacentral:tRNA from 6 species
GGGCCUGUAGCUCAGGUGGUUAGAGCGCACGCCUGAUAAGCGUGAGGUCGAUAGUUCAAGUCUAUCCAGGCCCACCA